rnacentral:rRNA from 1 species
CCUACGGGAGGCUGCAGUGAGGAAUAUUGGUCAAUGGGCGGGAGCCUGAACCAGCCAAGCCGCGUGAGGGAUGAAGGUACAGAGUAUCGUAAACCUCUUUUGUCAGGGAACAAAGGCGGGGACGCGUCCCCGGAUGAGUGUACCUGAAGAAAAAGCAUCGGCUAACUCCGUGCCAGCAGCCGCGGUAAUACGGAGGAUGCGAGCGUUAUCCGGAUUUAUUGGGUUUAAAGGGUGCGCAGGCGGUCUGUUAAGUCAGCGGUCAAAGCCCGGGGCUCAACCCCGGCCCGCCGUUGAAACUGGCAGUCUCGAGUUGGAGAGAAGUAUGCGGAAUGCGCGGUGUAGCGGUGAAAUGCAUAGAUAUCGCGCAGAACUCCGAUUGCGAAGGCAGCAUGCCGGCUCCACACUGACGCUGAGGCACGAAAGCGUGGGUAUCGAACAGGAUUAGAUACCCGGGUAGUC